GACGAACGCUGGCGGCGUGCCUAAUACAUGCAAGUAGAACGCUGAAGCGAGGGGCUUGCUCUUCUUGGUUGAGUUGCGAACGGGUGAGUAACGCGUAGGUAACCUGCCUUGUAGCGGGGGAUAACUAUUGGAAACGAUAGCUAAUACCGCAUAACAAUGGAUGACACAUGUUAUUUAUUUGAAAGGGGCAAUUGCUCUACUACAAGAUGGACCUGCGUUGUAUUAGCUAGUAGGUGAGGUAAUGGCUCACCUAGGGGACGAUACCUAGCCGCACUGAGAGGCAAGCUGCCACACUGGGACUGAGACACGGCCCAGAAGCCUUCGGGAGGCAGCAGUAGGGAAUCUUCGGCAAUGGGGGCAACCCUGACCGAGCAACGCCGCGUGAGUGAAGAAGGGUUUCGGGUCCUAAAGCUCUGUUGUAAGUCGAGAACGUGGGUGAGAGUGGAAAGUUCACACUGUGACGGGAGCUUACCAGAAAGGUACGGCUAACUACGUG
rnacentral:rRNA from 1 species